rnacentral:rRNA from 1 species
UACGUAGGGGGCAAGCGUUGUCCGGAAUCAUUGGGCGUAAAGCGCGUGUAGGCGGCCUUUUAAGUCUGAUGUGAAAGCCCACGGCUCAACCGUGGAAGGUCAUUGGAAACUGAAAGGCUUGAGUACAGAAGAGGAAAGCGGAAUUCCACGUGUAGCGGUGAAAUGCGUAGAGAUGUGGAGGAACACCAGUGGCGAAGGCGGCUUUCUGGUCUGUAACUGACGCUGAGACGCGAAAGCGUGGGGAGCGAACAGG